rnacentral:lncRNA from 1 species
GGCCUGCUCAGUGAGUUUACAUGUUAGAGGGAGUGGGGUAUAGUGACACAGUAACAGAGGGAUUGAGGGCAUGCUCAGUGAGUUUACAUGUUAGAGGGAGUGGGGUAUAGUGACACAGUAACAGAGGGAUUGAGGGCCCUGCUCAGUGAGGUUACAUGUUAGAGGGAGUGGGGUAUAGUGACACAGUAACAGAGGGAUUGAGGGC